AUUGAACGCUGGCGGCAUGCCUUACACAUGCAAGUCGAACGGCAGCACGGGUGCUUGCACCUGGUGGCGAGUGGCGAACGGGUGAGUAAUACAUCGGAACGUACCUUGUCGUGGGGGAUAACGCAGCGAAAGCUGUGCUAAUACCGCAUACGCCCUGAGGGGGAAAGCGGGGGAUCGAAAGACCUCGCGCGAUUAGAGCGGCCGAUGCCUGAUUAGCUUGUUGGUGGGGGUAAAAGCCCACCAAGGCGACGAUCAGUAGCUGGUCUGAGAGGACGAUCAGCCACACUGGGACUGAGACACGGCCCAGACUCCUACGGGAGGCAGCAGUGGGGAAUUUUAGACAAUGGGGGCAACCCUGAUCCAGCAAUGCCGCGUGAGUGAAGAAGGCCUUCGGGUUGUAAGGCUCUUUUGUCAGGGAAGAAACACCGGCUCUAACACAGUCCGGGAAUGACGGUACCUGAAGAAUAAGCACCGGCUAACUACGUGCCAGCCGCCGCUGUAA
rnacentral:rRNA from 1 species